rnacentral:rRNA from 1 species
AACGAACGCUGGCGGCGUGCCUAACACAUGCAAGUCGAGCGAGAAGUCCCUUCGGGGGCGAGUAAAGCGGCGGACGGGUGAGUAAUACAUGGAUAAUCCUCCCUCGAGCCUGGGAUAACCCUGCGAAAGUGGGGCUAAUACCGGAUAAGACCACAUGACACAUGUCACGGGGUAGAAGGUGGCUUGUAUUUAUAUGAGCUAUCACUUGAGGAUGAGUCCAUGGCCUAUCAGCUAGUUGGUGAGGUAAGAGCUUACCAAGGCUAUGACGGGUAGCUGGUCUGAGAGGACGACUAGCCACACUGGGACUGAGACACGGCCCAGACUCCUACGGGAGGCAGCAGUGGGGAAUAUUGGGCAAUGGGCGAAAGCCUGACCCAGCGACGCCGCGUGGGUGAUGAAGGCCUUCGGGUUGUAAAACCCUUUCGUGCGGAAAGAAUAGUCUCGUAGCGAAUAACUAUGGGAUUUGACGGUACCGCAGGAAGAAGCACCGGCUAACUCCGUG